CAACGAUGGUAGUUGUUAGACCAUUUUUCUCUUGAGGCAUUUUGUUAGGCCAUUCAUAUGACUAGUCUAUGCAUGAAUCUUCCUAUAAAGCUUGCUUCACAUUAAUUCGAUGAGGGAGAAAAGUGAGGAAAGCAUGGAGUUACGGACAGGAUUGGCUAGCAUCUUUCUUGCUCACACUUUUGGUGCCUUGGAAGAUCAUAGCCAUUUUGUUAGGCUUUGAAUCAGAUAAAAAGGGGGAUUUAUUCCUUCAUUUGGGAUAUAGAGAGAAAAAGCGAAGAAAAACAUCAAAAACAAUCAUAUGUUGCAGAGGGAAGAUAACAUUGAGAAUAUGUCAGUGAAUAGUAACUGUGGUAUUUAUGCGUUGCACCGGAUUUGUAUCUUUCUUUCAUUCUGUAACCAUUUCAAUUACAAGUUGGCAGUUUUAUCUACUCGAAGGUCAACAGAAAAAGUACUGAUCACUUGCAUGAACGGUGUAUCCAACAAGGUUCCAAAACAACGACAAAAAGCAGAACAGUUAAGAAAGGCGUGACAGAAAAGCUAAUCAGACGGACAUAAAAGCAAAUUGAACACCCACGAGGAGAUGCUCGAUAGACUCCAACACGUCAACACAUUUUGGAUUUCUUGAAGAAAGAGAAAGAUGAUUUUUUGAAGGAAGAAAAAGAGAUGAAAGAUUUGGAGUCUGCUUACUUGCUGGAAUGUUUUAUCAACAACACUGGUAAUUCUUCAACACAGUAAUGAAUAAACUCUUUAAAGCGACCGAUCAUCUCAUUUUCCAAGUGGCUAAUUGCCACUUCACCACCUUUAGGAUUAUUAUUCUCUAUGUCAAAGAUGUAAAAACUUAAGAUGGGGAUGCAAACCAAAUGUCGGCUCUUUUUAAGUGCCAUGUCCUUAUUGUAUCAAAAAUUUUCCUUGUCAUCUCUCAAGAAGAUCAUAAUCACCACUAUAAUGGAGGCUACUAAUAAAAAAAGUAAUACGAACAUCCAAGAUAGAAGUAGCAUUGCAAGGAUUUGAACCACAUACCAAAAACACCCACACAUGCAGGAAUCGAUGCUUUUUUAAAUUCUUUGAAUUCUUGUCACUCAUUGUGAAAUAUGUAGACAAAUUCCUAGACAGAAUGCAUGGAUACCUAGGGCAUGUGGUUAAGUGUCUUUGGUAUGUGGUUCAAAUCCUUGCAUUAUUACUUCUAUUUUGGAUGUUUGUAUUACUUUCUUUAUUAGUAGCCCCCAUUAUGAUGGUGAUUAUGUUCCUUUUGAGAGAUGACUUGGAGAUUUUUGGAUAUAAUAAGGACAUAACACUUAAGAAGCCGGCAUUUUGUCUACAUCCCCAUCUUAGGUUUUUACAUCUUUUACAUAGAGAAUAAUAAUCCUCAAGGCGGUGAGGCGGCAAUCAGUUGCUUGGAAAAUGAGAUGAUUGGUUGCUUUAGAGAGCUUAUUCAUUGUUGUGUUAAGGAAUUACCAAACGACCUAAUGGAUUCAAAGUAAAAGUUAUGUCAUCUGCCUUGUUCUCAAUUAAUGUAUCAAACUUUGUAAUUAAUUAUUUAAGCUAUUUUUUAAUAAUAGGUAAAUGUUUCUUAGUGUAA